GUGAGCGUAGCUCAGUGGGUAGAGCAUUAGACUGUGGCUCUAAGGGUCGCGGGUUCGAAUCCCGUCGCUCACCCCA
rnacentral:tRNA from 1 species